UACGUAGGGGGCAAGCGUUGUCCGGAUUUAUUGGGCGUAAAGAGCGUGUAGGCGGCCUGACAAGUCUGCUGUGAAAACUCGAGGCUCAACCUCGAGAUGUCGGCGGAAACUGUCUGGCUAGAGUCCGGAAGAGAAGAGUGGAAUUCCACGUGUAGCGGUGAAAUGCGUAGAGAUGUGGAGGAACACCAGUGGCGAAGGCGACUCUUUGGCCUGUAACUGACACUGAGGCGCGAAAGCGUGGGGAGCAAACAGG
rnacentral:rRNA from 1 species